rnacentral:rRNA from 1 species
AGGGUUUGAUCAUGGCUCAGAACGUACGCUGGCGGCACGCCUUAUACAUGCAAGUCGAACGAAGUAGCAAUACUUAGUGGCAGACGGGUGAGUAACAUGUAGGUAUCUUCCCUUUGGUGAGGAAUAACACGAGGAAACUUGUGCUAAUACCUCAUAAGUCUUUACGGAGAAAGCUUUAUGCGCCGAAGGAUGAGCCUGCACUUGAUUAGUUUGUUGGUGAGGUAAUGGCUCACCAAGGCGACGAUCUUUAGCUGGUCUGAGAGGACGAUCAGCCACAUUGGGACUGAGACACGGCCCAGACUCCUACGGGAGGCAGCAGUGGGGAAUAUUGGACAAUGGGCGCAAGCCUGAUCCAGCCAUACCGCGUGUGUGAAGAAGGCUUUCGGGUUGUAAAGCACUUUAAGUAAGGAGGAAAAGAUUGUACCCGAAUAAGAAGGUCCGGCUAACUUCGUGCCAGCAGCCGCGGUAAUACGAAGGGACCUAGCGUAGUUCGGAAUUACUGGGCUUAAAGAGUUCGUAGGUGGUUAAAAAAGUUGGUGGUGAAAUCCCAGAGCUUAACUCUGGAACUGCCAUCAAAACUUUUUAGCUAGAGUAUGAUAGAGGAAAGCAGAAUUUCUAGUGUAGAGGUGAAAUUCGUAGAUAUUAGAAAGAAUACCAAUUGCGAAGGCAGCUUUCUGGAUCAUUACUGACGCUGAGGAACGAAAGCAUGGGUAGCGAAGAGGAUUAGAUACCCUCGUAGUCCAUGCCGUAAACGAUGUGUGUUAGACGUUGGAAAUUUAUUUUCAGUGUCGCAGCGAAAGCAUUAAACACACCGCCUGGGGAGUACGACCGCAAGGUUAAAACUCAAAUGAAUUGACGGGGACCCGCACAAGUAGUGGAGCAUGUGGUUUAAUUCGAAGAUACGCGCAGAACCUUACCAACACUUGACAUGUUCGUCGCGACUUUAAGAGAUUAAAGUUUUCGGUUCGGCCGGACGAAACACAGGUGCUGCAUGGCUGUCGUCAGCUCGUGCCGUGAGGUGUCAGGUUAAGUCCUAUAACGAGCGCAACCCCUGUUGUUAGUUGCCAGCGAGUAAUGUCGGGAACUCUAGCAAGACUGCCAGUGCAAACUGUGAGGAAGGUGGGGAUGACGUCAAAUCAUCACGGCCCUUACGUCCUGGGCUACACACGUGCUACAAUGGUAGGUACAGAGAGCAGCCAAUGCGCGAGCAUGAGCAAAUCUAUAAAACCUAUCUCAGUUCGGAUCGGAGUCUGCAACUCGAGUACAUGAAGCUGGAAUUACUAGUAAUCGCGGAUCAGCGCGCCGCGGUGAAUACGUUCCCGGGUCUUGUACACACCGCCCGUCACACCAUGGGAGUUGGUUCUACCUUAAGGCAAGGUUUAAAACCCUUGACCACGGUAUAGUCAGCGACUGGGGUGAAGUCGUAACAAGGUAGCCGUA